GGUGACCUUUCCGCUGAGUCCUGACUGGCAGGUGGAUUAUGAAUCCUACACUUGGAGGAAGCUGAACCCGGAUAGCGAGGAGUCCAAGACGCUGGUGAAGGAGUACUUCCUGUGGGAGGGGGAUUUCAAGCACGUUGGCAAGGUCUUUUGCCAGGGCAAGAUCUUCAAAUGAGGGCACGGCAGGAAGACUGUUCCCAAAACAUGGACCUAAUGCAAGACAAAGAGCCUCCAGGAGCUGCCAGUAGCAGAAACAUCUCAGGAGGGAGAGACGGCCCAACGUUCUGAGACGUGUAUUCAAAACCCAAGUGUGCUAGUAAAAA